GACGAACGCUGGCGGCGUGCUUAACACAUGCAAGUCGAACGGAAAGGCCCUGCUUUUGUGGGGUGCUCGAGUGGCGAACGGGUGAGUAACACGUGAGUAACCUGCCCUUGACUUUGGGAUAACUUCAGGAAACUGGGUCUAAUACCGGAUAGGAGCUCCUGCUGCAUGGUGUGGGUUGGAAAGUUUCGGCGGUUGGGGAUGGACUCGCGGCUUAUCAGCUUGUUGGUGGGGUAGUGGCUUACCAAGGCUUUGACGGGUAGCCGGCCUGAGAGGGUGACCGGCAAGAUUGAGACUGAGAUACGGCACAGACACCUAAGGGAGGCAGCAGUGGAGAAGAUUGCACAAUGGGCGGAAGCAUGAUGCAGCAAAGCCGCGUGAGGGAUGACGGCCUUCGGGUUGUAAACCGCAUUCGCCGGUGACGAAGCGUGAGUGACGGUAAUGGGUGAAGAAGCACCGGCUAACUACGUG
rnacentral:rRNA from 1 species